rnacentral:misc_RNA from 1 species
AUUUGAGUAAGAAACUUGUUCAUACUACCGGCGUUUUUUGUUCAUGGAUUGCAAGAAGUCGACCUUGGAACGAAACUGCAAACUUUUGGCAUCAAGACCUGAAUGCUGCAUGCUGUGGACAUUACAAUGGUGACUUUCUGAGUUGUAUGGAGCUACCAAGCAGUCCUGAGAAGUCCUAGGAAUGACCUUAAGUUUAGGCACUUGUGUGUUUGGUGGAUAUCGUCAAGAUAGAAUGAGUUGUUGU